rnacentral:lncRNA from 1 species
CUGAUGGAAGAAGUAGCUACCCACAUCAGAGCCGGAUAAGUCUUGCACACCGCGCACCAGAAAACAAAUUCAGAGUUGGAGAAGUAACCCAAGCAUAGCGAGAGAGCAAUACGUAACCCCGACAACACCUCAAAUGCACAAAGCAGACCAAAAGAACACACCAAAGACCAUAUACUACCACAUAAACAAGACUAGACACCUAUGGUUUGCUUCAAAAGGAAAGAACAAGAACGUCGCUUGACCACCGAACUUCAGAGGCACAUGAACAAGCUAAGCAAAUUCACGACCCCUUACCUAAGCCGAAACGUCCAACACGCCUCAGACCUCCAUCCGAGUAACAACGAACAGAAUCCAACAC